rnacentral:lncRNA from 1 species
GUCCCCAGUAUGCUUGUUUCUAGGUUCUUCAGAGUUUAUACACAAUGGCGUUGGCCAAAUCCAGUGAUGCUAUGCCCAAUUGAAGAGGAUGAACUUGGUUUUCUUGUUUGGGAUCCUCGCAAGAAUCCAAAAGACCGAACUCAUCAUAUGCCAAUUAUAACUCCUGCUUAUCCUUGCAUGAACUCCAGCUAUAAUGUCUCGCCAAGUACUCUUCGAGUAAUGAUGGACCAGUUUCAGUUUGGUAACAAGAUUUGUGAGGUAUGGCUUAAAAUUCAGUGUUGUUUUCUUCUGUUUUCACUGUACUCACCCAUUUUGAUUGGUAGUCUUGCUUUUUUUACUUGGUUCUUUCAUCCAGGAGAUAGAGUUGAAUAAAGCACAGUGGGCUGCGCUUUUUGAGCAUUAUCUUUUCUUUGAGGUGUACAAAAACUAUCUGCAGGUUGACAUUGUAGCGGCAGAUAGUGAUGAUUUGCUAGCUUGGAGAGGCUGGGUGGAAUCCCGGCUUAGACAACUAACACUAAAGGUGAGAAUUGUAAGCACUAAAGGGAAAAGAAAGAACUUUGGGAGGUUAAAAUCGAAUUCAGUUGUUGGGAUAAUGAUAUUUUGUUUUCUUUGGUUUAUUAUGUCGAUGAGAAUUGUAAGCACUAAAGGGAAAAAGAAGGAAUUCUGGAGGGAAAUUUUUUAAUUCAAUUGUCGUGAUUCUAGUGCUGGAACUCAUGCUUUUUCUUUGAUGCAUUUCAGAUCGAGCGUGACACAAAUGGGAUGUUGCAGUGCCAUCCGUAUCCUAAUGAAUUUGUAGACUUGUCUAAGCCAUGUCCACAUUGUGCUUUUUUUAUGGGCUUGCAGAGGAAACAGGGUGUAAAAGUGCAAGAAGGACAGCAGUUUGAUAUUCGUGGCACAGUUGAUGAGUUUAAGCAAGACGUAAGCAUGUACACUUAUUGGAGACCAGGCAUGGAUAUCUAUGUAUCUCAUGUUCGGAGGAAGCAAAUUCCUCCAUUUGUCUUUCCAGAUGGGUAUAAGAGACCACGUCAAUCUAGGAAUACAAGUCAUAGUACUCCUGAGAAAGUUGCUAGAGGCUGCAUGUCUCCUGAAGAAAGGCAUCCGAAGAGGAAGCAGGAAGCUGAAACAGUUGGUGUAAAUUGGGGAAAACUAGGGAAACGUGCUUCUAUCAGUCCGCAAAGGAUAGGGUCUGUUUCUCCUCUAGGUGGUUCUAGUAGGUCUGAUGGAUCAUCACAAAUAAUCAUUUCUGACGAGUCACAGAAGGAGCUCGAGAGUUCUUGCCUACGGGACAGUUCUGAUGAUAAUUCAUUACAUAGGUGCAGCAGAAACGAUGCCUCUCUGAGUGACAGUUCCAUUUGUGCACCUGAUAGUUUAAAUUAUACAAUGUCAAGGAAUUCCACUUUAUCCGGACUUCCCAGAGAAGUUGAUUUAGAUAGUUCUAACACAAAAUCCUUCCCAAGCCAGGAGAUGCGUAGUCCGUUCCAAGACAUUUGCACUAGAAAUGUCCAAACUUUUCAGGUGUUGCAGAAUGAUGAGAAGGGGGAGAUUUUGGGAUCACUUCAUCAGGAUAAUACUGGGCAGCUCAAUGAACCAGGUGUUCAGACUGGUUGCGCAGAAAGAGGUGAAAGAGUGCAUGUAUCAAAUUCCAACAUUCAGAACCUCACUUGCGAGGUGAGUCUCUCUGUUUGCAUGUUUCGGCUCUUGAAUUGUAGCUGAUGGCAGUGAUUUAUGAAAGUGUUGAAGAUAGUGAGAGCUAAGAGUCCUUUCAGGGUGAUAUAAGCUUGGCUGACCGGAUUUCACAACUAGGGGAUGGAUGUUUAAGUGGGAAUGGAGUCUUGGGUAAUGGCUUGGCCGAGAAGUCACAGGUGGAGUGCAGAAGUCUCUGGUCUAAUUUUUACCAAUUUUUCAUCAAAGCUAUACUGCAUAUAUGAGUUUCUGUUAUUACUGUUCACAUACCUAUUUUCCAGUGUUCAAUUUCAUUUUCUUUUUGUUAGGGUUAUUAUGACUAUUGAAGAGCUGGUCAUAUCAUCAGCUAGCUGUGUAGUGGAAAAUUCAUGAAGUUGGGUUCUUUGAUUGUGAGCAUGUCAGAGACUAUUCCAAUCUUGAAAAUACAAGAGCUGGAGAAUAUGUCAUGAUCUUGGAUUUAUGAUUGGACUAUACUCGGCUCCUCGAAAAGCAAUUUUUUAUUUAUUUUCCCUUCCUUUGUUUUUGAAAAAUCAUUAAUUAAAUUUGAUGGUUUUACGCACGUGUCUCUGACCAAUACAUGCUGGUGUGUUCUGCUAACUUCCUACUUCCCUAAUUAGCUAUGAAACAUGUAUAGUACAUGGUGUGCUAAGAACUGCUCUGCAUCUGGCUUUAUAUUUGGUAUAUUUUCAGGAUGGAGAACUUACUCAUUGUUUGUCGUUUUCUGUUUUCUAGCCAAACCAUUCUCUCUCAAGGGCAAUGGAAUCGCAGGAUGGGGCAAGCUCAGAGGCUGUGCAGGAGCCUGCAAUAAGGCAUGUGUUUCUGUGGCCCUGUGUUUUACGAUUUGAUAGGCUAUGUUAUCUUUAUGCUUUCUUGCUUUGUUCCUGUCGUGGUUUCUUUCUAGUAGGUUGAGUCUGGAAUCAACAGCUUGAAUUUGGGUAGGCGUUCCAAAGAUUGGCGUGUUUCAGAGCUAGUGCGUUUUUGAAAAUGCUUGCUCGGAAGAUGGUUGGUGAGGUGUUUGGAUUAGUUCAAGCUCACAUUUUAAUGUGAGAAGAGGUUGCAGAUUAUGACGUGUGGAUUUGUCUUCAGGCCCACUUUGAAGUUGGAUGAAGAUGUGAAUCUGUGCCUUUCUAACCCCCCCCCCCCCCCCAAAAAAAAAAACGAAAAAGAAAAAGAAAGAAGAAAGAAAACGAAAACGAAAAAGAAAAAAACAGGAGCCGUGCCUGCAGUGAAUCUCCAGUUGAAGCUAAACCAGUGUCCUGCUUAUUGCUGCAGUCAAGAGCCAGCAUCGAGAAGAGACCGCUGUAUACAUUGUGGUUGUAGUCUGCUUCAUUUGUUGAGAACCAAAAUAGCUUGUGGAUGUUUAAAAGGGAAAAAAGAAAGUGUAAAACAGGAUAGUGGCUACUUUUUUCUAUUUUGAGGGUCUAGAAAAGACUUAUUUCCUUAUAUUGUGAUGUAGGAAACCUUGGUCUUCGUAGGUGGUCCUUCUUUGUUUAAAAUUUUUAUUAACUGACAAGAUUAUAGUAAAAAUCUGGUAUCUU